GUCAAAAUGACUCUCAAAGGAAGCUUCCAGCCCCGCUCUGGGUCUUAUUACCGCUGUAACAGUGGGAGCCAUUGCAGACGGUGAUGUCGGAGCAGAGCUGUAUCACUGUGACUGCCAAGAGCCUCGGGGUCCCUAGCUAAGGACAAUCCAGAGACCAGCCUCCUGGCUUCCCGAAAAAUGGGCUCGGCUAGAGACGGUGGCAGCAAAGACACACUUUUCAAAGAUUUUCAUCUGUUUUCAGAAAUAAAAUCUAAACACGUAUUUUUGAAACUGCUGUAAAUUUUGCUAAGCUACAAUGUUUUCCUUGGGCAUCCAGGACAUAUGGUUCGUCUUUCGGUG
rnacentral:lncRNA from 1 species